AAUAUUCCUGUACUUGGUGUUACUGCGAAGGGGGGACGGAGAAGGCUAUGUUGGCCGGGCGACGGUUGUCCCGGUUUAAGCGUGUAGGCUGGUUUUCCAGGCAAAUCCGGAAAAUCAAGGCUGAGGCGUGAUGACGAGGCACUACGGUGCUGAAGCAACAAAUGCCCUGCUUCCAGGAAAAGCCUCUAAGCAUCAGGUAACAUCAAAUCGUACCCCAAACCGACACAGGUGGUCAGGUAGAGAAUACCAAGGCGCUUGAGAGAACUCGGGUGAAGGAACUAGGCAAAAUGGUGCCGUAACUUCGGGAGAAGGCACGCUGAUAUGUAGGUGAAGUCCCUCGCGGAUGGAGCUGAAAUCAGUCGAAGAUACCAGCUGGCUGCAACUGUUUAUUAAAAACACAGCACUGUGCAAACACGAAAGUGGACGUAUACGGUGUGACGCCUGCCCGGUGC
rnacentral:rRNA from 1 species